UACAGAGGGUGCAAGCGUUGUUCGGAAUUACUGGGCGUAAAGGGCGCGUAGGCGGCCAUCUAAGUCAGACGUGAAAUCCCCCGGCUUAACCUGGGAACUGCGUUUGAUACUGGAUGGCUUGAGUUUGGGAGAGGGAUGCGGAAUUCCAGGUGUAGCGGUGAAAUGCGUAGAUAUCUGGAGGAACACCGGUGGCGAAGGCGGCAUCCUGGACCAAUACUGACGCUGAGGAGCGAAAGCUAGGGGAGCAAACGGG
rnacentral:rRNA from 1 species